rnacentral:snoRNA from 2 species
AAUAAAUAAAUGAAGAUAGAACCACAGACCUGUACUGACUAUUGAUGUUAGUUGUCGCUCUGAUA